rnacentral:rRNA from 1 species
UACGUAGGGUCCGAGCGUUGUCCGGAAUUAUUGGGCGUAAAGGGCUCGUAGGCGGUUUGUCGCGUCGGGAGUGAAAACACGGGGCUUAACCCCGUGCCUGCUUCCGAUACGGGCAGACUAGAGGUAUGCAGGGGAGAACGGAAUUCCUGGUGUAGCGGUGAAAUGCGCAGAUAUCAGGAGGAACACCGGUGGCGAAGGCGGUUCUCUGGGCAUUAACUGACGCUGAGGAGCGAAAGUGUGGGGAGCGAACAGG